rnacentral:tRNA from 1 species
GCCGGGAUGGCCGAGCGGACCAAGGCGCAGGCCUUGAGAGCCUGUGGCCCUCACGGGCCUCGUGGGUUCGAAUCCCACUCCCGGCGCCA